UUUGGUAUUGAUGGGCCUCAUAUCGGCAUUUGCCCGUAUUAUACUAUCCGUUCGAUUGCAAAAUUAUCUAAUCUGAACAGUGGCUAAGCUGGUUAAAAUAAUGAAAGCAGAUUUAUGAUGAACUCUCGAGAUGUCAACAUUAAAACCUGAAUGAGGAGAUGAACAUGCAGAGGUUUCAGAUCCUGACCAGCCACGCUAUAUAUAUUUCAGUUGGAUGCGGCUGUAAUUAGUAUCGGACAUGAGAAGCUGAACUAUACGAACAAAUGUUUUUUUUCCCGAGAAAGACCAAAGGUCAGUAUUUUUCUCUUACUUUUAAUGUGGCCACUUAUAAAGAUUAAUAGUAGUAAUAUUAGCAAAUAGGAUAUAGUUUUGAUUAAAAAAAUUAUCAGUAGUAAAGGUUGAUAAUAAUGUUUUAAGUGUUGACUGCAACAAUUGAUAUUAAAAUUAAACGUUAAGAUAACUGUAAUGGAAUUCAUUUUCCCCAUGAAAGAAAGGUAACUCCAAAUCUAUUAGUAGAUGAACUUCUCUAAUUUCAGGAAAGACAUCUUUUUAGUCUACUCCUUAGCAACUUUGAGUUAGAAGUCUUUGCUAUCUUCUUCCGUGGAUAUGGAUUCUGUUAUCAAACAAUAGCAUUGUUUUCUCUCUGUGCGUUAUGUGUGUGUAUAUGUGGAGGGUGAAGAACUAAAACAAUUUAUUAAUCUGAUGUUAUUAGUGCUGAACUCAUGAUUAAACACCUACUGCAUAAGUGACUUGCACAGUUUACUCUUUUCUCUUGGAUUCUUAAUGUACUCAGUGUUAUCAUUGACGAAAAGCGACAAAAAGCUCUACGCUACGUUGAAGCUUUAAGCGCAAAGCGCAACUAAAGUGUGGCUUUCAUAAAAAAGGCGUAACUGGAGAAAAAGUAAAAAUAUGUAUGUGUAGUCCAAGACUAAUAAUUAUAAGCAUGAAUAACAAAUAUAUGGAUAAAGAAAUUGAAAAUAAGUUACGAUAAAGCGAAAUGUCAAUUGUUUAAUGUUGCCAUUUUAGGAUUACACUCAUUGGCAAGGAAAAGUAUGCCUUAGAACCUUGAUGCGAUACUAAAGCGCCCACAAAGCGGAGCCGAAGCGCUCAACAUAUUUUGAGCCUCGUUUCAGGGGUUGAUCGCGCUUUAAGCGCCUUUGAGUGGAAUCAUUACCAAAUGAAUCAGAGGCAGUAAUAAUUAACGGAAAGAAUCAGAUACAGCACUAAUUACAGGGGAUGGAAUAAAAUACAUGCCCAAAUUAACAUGUUAAAAUGUCUUAUCGUCCUUCCAUAAUAGUAAUGCUAACUGUGUUCACAGAGCCUUGAGUUUUAGAAGGUUCCUUCUCGGAACAGCUGGGUCUUGUUGUAAAUGCAGGUUGUUUGGGACUUGGCAAAUCAGAAAUUUCACUAGUGAGCAUAGAUAGAACCACCGAAACAUUUGGUCUAUCUUCUGCAUAUUCUUGAACACAUAAUAGUCCAACAUGUGCACACCUCAGAAUUUCCCUUUCAAACUGCAUGUCUAUUAUCUUGGGGUCAACCAAUUCGAGAAUGUUGUUUUCGUUCCAACACUUCCAUGCCUGAAGAGCAAGCGCAUUUGACAACACAAUGGAAACUUGAAUUAUGAAAAGUUAACAUUUCAUAAAAAGUAGUAGUAGCUUAAUUUUCAUAUGAACUUACAUAUGCUAGAAGGCUUAAUGCACGGUCAUCUUGGUGAAAGCUAGUGUUCCUCCUUCCAGUAAUAAUUUCCAGUAACAAAACUCCGAAACUGUAAACAUCUGAUUUUUCUGAGAAUCUUCCUUCCAUUGCAUAUUCAGGUGCCAUGUAACCACUGCAUCAUGUUAUAUUUUUGAAUGUUUACUUUGUGUAUUCUUUGCAAUCAUGAAAAUAUGAAGACAAAGUUACACGAACUUACUAGGUACCAACAACUCUCUCUGUGUUGGCCUGAUCCUGGUUGCCUGGAAAAAUCCUAGCCAUGCCAAAAUCUGAAAUUUUUGGGUUCAGUUGUUCAUCCAACAAAAUGUUGCUUGAUUUCAAAUCCCUGUGAAUAAUCCUUAGCCUGGAAUCUCUGUGAAGGUAAAGAAGGCCUCGACCAAUUCCCUCAAUGAUGUUCACACGUUUACUCCAAUCAAGGAAUUCUUUCUCUUCAGGGUUUGAACCUGUAAGUACAUUGAAAAAUAUGCAAGUUUGAGAAUACUACAAACAAUUUCCUUUUUAGCUACACACUAUGGGGUAUAAAAUAAAAACAAUGGUAAUCAACUAACCGAAGAGAUAUGCAUCUAAGCUUCUUUUUGGCAUGUAUUCAUAAACCAAAAUCUUCUCCCCUCUUUCUAUGCAGCAGCCAAGUAGUCUAACAAGAUUACGAUGUUGAAG
rnacentral:lncRNA from 1 species